rnacentral:lncRNA from 1 species
GUGGUUUUGUUACUGCAGUGUGCCUGAUGCCCUCUUUUUGCCUCUGGUUGUGUCUAACAGCUUCUUACUCAAGCCCUUUGGAUUGCAAAUUCCAGAUAGUUUACUUACAUUUAAUUUUGGUUUCUCACAUGAAGCCACAGCCAGAAACCACAUCCCCAGAUGAGAGAACAGGGUUGUGCUGCUAAUUAAUGCCCUGCCAAUUUAUCAUACCAAGCCUAAGCUCCCAGCACAAGUGGCCACAUGUUGCACUCUGCUCUAAAUUUGCCCAGGAGAACAAAUGGAAACUACACUGGUUCUUUUUUAGAAAAGGGAAAAUUAAAAUUAAAGCAAAUGUCAAAGAUACUCUGAGGUCCUUUGUUGCACUUAACAGUCCAUUAUUCCUAUUGAUUCAUCUCGAGUGCAUGCAGCACAUCUAAGCCUCAGCACAGGGCGAGUCUGAAGUCUGUCGGGAGGGAACUGACCUGUGCCGAGGCCAAGUGAUGGGCAGAUGAGCAUCAGCCCCGGGUCCUCCAGCACUGCAAGCAAACCCCAGGGGCACUCAUCACACAGGCAGCUGAUGCUGGUUUUUGGCAGGGGCCCAGCUAGAAGGCACACGCAGGGAGGGCAGAGAGCCUGUGAUGAGCAGUGUCUGUACGAGCACCCAAAGGAAGCCAUAAGACAGUGAUGCGGCAUGACAAGGGCAGCACCAUUGCUGCCAACCUUCCAGUUGCCUUUCUGCUUUGUACUCUGCCCUGCAGAGAUCAGCCUGAGCUCACCAGAUCGCUCCAAGAAGUCAGCACAAGUACAUCCCAGCAGGCGUGCGUACUGCCACCGCUUGAGAUGCCAGCUGGGGAGAGCAGUUGGAUGUGAAGCAUCUCAGAAGGGCUGCACUGACUCACCGACUGGGACAGCCGUACUGCGAACAUCUUGCACCCGAGGCCCCCAGCCGCUCUGCAACAUCUGUUAAUUCUCACAACAUGCUAUGGUGUCGAUUUUUAUUGCUCUAUUUUUGCAGAGGUAAAGAGCUGGAAGAAUAGGUGACUGAAGAUGGAAAGAUAGCUGGGUCUUCUAUAAGAUUACCAAGCUUGCAGGUCUCCUUCUUAAAUGUUGGAGGAAGUUUUACUUAGAGCUCUGGAGCUGGGUGGGGACAGCAAUGCCAAAAAGGGAUCAGGAGGGCACGGCUGCCCCCCAAGACUGUAGCUACAUGGCAAUCUGUAGCUAAUGGUGCCAUCCAUUGGCACAGUGUGGAGAAGGGAGGCUUUUAGAGAGAGGAUUUCCCUUCUCAAAGGCAUUAGCACUUACUUAGAUAACUAAAAAGAGCAUUCAUGUCAAUCUGAUGCCAUUAUGUUUAAUGGAGCUGAAUGCGUGACUUCUGCUGAAAUAAAAUAGUCUUACAGCAGUGGGAGGAGAGAGAG